rnacentral:rRNA from 1 species
GACGAACGCUGGCGGCGUGCCUAAUACAUGCAAGUAGAACGCUGAAGAGAGGAGCUUGCUCUUCUUGGAUGAGUUGCGAACGGGUGAGUAACGCGUAGGUAACCUGCCUUGUAGCGGGGGAUAACUAUUGGAAACGAUAGCUAAUACCGCAUAACAAUGGAUGACACAUGUCAUUUAUUUGAAAGGGGCAAUUGCUCCACUACAAGAUGGACCUGCGUUGUAUUAGCUAGUAGGUGAGGUAAUGGCUCACCUAGGCGACGAUACAUAGCCGACCUGAGAGGGUGAUCGGCCACACUGGGACUGAGACGCGGCCCAGACUCCUACGGGAGGCAGCAGUAGGGAAUCUUCGGCAAUGGGGGCAACCCUGACCGAGCAACGCCGCGUGAGUGAAGAAGGUUUUCGGAUCGUAAAGCUCUGUUGUAAGUCAAGAACGGGUGUGAGAGUGGAAAGUUCACACUGUGACGGUAGCUUACCAGAAAGGGACGGCUAACUACGUG